CCUACGGGUGGCAGCAGUGGGGAAUAUUGGGCAAUGGGCGCAAGCCUGACCCAGCAACGCCGCGUGAAGGAAGAAGGCUUUCGGGUUGUAAACUUCUUUUAAGAGGGAAGAGCAGAAGACGGUACCCCUUGAAUAAGCCACGGCUAACUACGGGCCAGCAGCCGCGGUAAUACGGAGGUGGCAAGCGUUGUCCGGAUUUAAUGGGUGUAAAGGGCGUGCAGCCGGGAAGACAAGUUAGAUGGGAAACCCCGAGGCUCAACCGCGGAACUGCUUUUAAAACUGUUUUAAUUGAGGGCAGGAGGGGUAAACGGAAUUCCUAGUGUAGCGGUGGAAUGCGUAGAUAUAAGGAGGAAGACCAGGGGCGAAGGCGGGUGGCUGGACUGCAACUGACAGGGAGGCACGAAAGAGUGGGGAGCAAACAGGAUUAGAUACCCGUGUAGUC
rnacentral:rRNA from 1 species